UGUAUGGAUUAGUGGCGGACGGGUGAGUAACGCGUGGAUAACCUGCCGUAUACAGGGGGAUAACACUUAGAAAUAGGUGCUAAUACCGCAUAAGCGCACGGUUCCGCAUGGAACAGUGUGAAAAACUCCGGUGGUAUACGAUGGAUCCGCGUCUGAUUAGCCAGUUGGCGGGGUAACGGCCCACCAAAGCGACGAUCAGUAGCCGGCCUGAGAGGGUGAACGGCCACAUUGGGACUGAGACACGGCCCAAACUCCUACGGGAGGCAGCAGUGGGGAAUAUUGCACAAUGGGGGAAACCCUGAUGCAGCGACGCCGCGUGAGUGAAGAAGUAUUUCGGUACGUAAAGCUCUAUCAGCAGGGAAGAAAAUGACGGUACCUGACUAAGAAGCCCCGGCUAACUACGUGCCAGCAGCCGCGGUAAUACGUAGGGGGCAAGCGUUAUCCGGAUUUACUGGGUGUAAAGGGAGCGUAGACGGCAGCGCAAGUCUGGAGUGAAAUGCCGGGGCCCAACCCCGGAACUGCUUUGGAAACUGUGCAGCUCGAGUGCAGGAGAGGUAAGCGGAAUUCCUAGUGUAGCGGUGAAAUGCGUAGAUAUUAGGAGGAACACCAGUGGCGAAGGCGGCUUACUGGACUGUAACUGACGUUGAGGCUCGAAAGCGUGGGGAGCAAACAGGAUUAGAUACCCUGGUAGUCCACGCCGUAAACGAUGAUUACUAGGUGUCGGGGGGCCAAGGCCCUCCGGUGCCGCCGCAAACGCAUUAAGUAAUCCACCUGGGGAG
rnacentral:rRNA from 1 species